rnacentral:lncRNA from 1 species
CCGUCGUGUCGCGUGCUCAAAUGGUCGUGUUGAAUUUCUACGCUGCGUCGUAAAUCAUAUCUUUAGCGUUUCUUUUAUUUGCUUAUUACAAUUCAAAAUUUUAAAUCCAUGUUGAGAUAGAAUCAUUAGCAAAGGCCCUGAUCGGCAAAAAAGAUGAACAUUAAACCAACUUAUAGUAUGAAAUGGUUUAUAUUUUAUUUUAUUUAUUAAGUUGAGUUUUUAAUAAGUAAUGUAGUAGUUUUUGUGAAGCAUAAACAAGACAGUUAAUAAUAAAAGACAAAGCAAGCAACAAAGAAUCAAUCAUAUGCUUUUCCAACAAGUAAAGAGUAGUAAAUCCAUGUACAACAAAGAUAACGCAUGCAUGAAUAAAAUAAACAAGGGAGUAUUAGUGAGAACCCCCUCCAACAUUAUUUUAAUAAGGAUGGGUUCAACCCCUUUUUCAUUAUUAGUGAGGGACCCAUUCUUUUUUUAUUUCCAAAUUUACCCUCCCUUUAUUCACUACCCAUUUAUCCACUACUUUGAUGAUUUUUUAUUUAUUUAUUUAUUUUUUUAUUUUUUAUUUAUUUAAAAAAAACUUUGUUUUAAAUAUUUCUUCUUCCAGAAAAAUAUUUCUCUUUUUCGAUUUUUUUAUUGUCAGUUUUUUCUUUCAGAAUGAAUUGCAAUUUUUUUGUACUAACUAAAUCAUAUACACAACAGACCAACAUAGUAUAUUAGCUUCAUAUUCCAAAUAAAUGUAACAAAAAAAACAAGGACACAAAUAGAUAAGGAAACAGACCUCUAAGCGGCGAAUCCGAUGAUCUUGGAAUCGAAAAGCUUCAAGAUGCCACCGGAAUUGGAGGAGAGCUCCUCGAUUUGGAUCUGUAGGUUGUGAUAGAGGACACGGGGCUCUCGUCUUCGCGGCUCUCCUCGUUCUGCUCGAUUGGUGAUGUUUUUGUAGGCGAAGAGGAGGUUGCGUUCCUCGGCGGGGAGAAGGUUGCGUUUCUUGGCGAAGAGAACGAUAUUAACAGGGAG